rnacentral:sRNA from 1 species
AUUUUUUCAAAAAACAAUUUCCCGUCAAAAACAAUUUUUUGGCGGGAAAUAGAUUUACAAUGGAUUUUAAAAGGAUUUUAAAAGAUUUACAUGGGAUUUUAAAAUAGUUUUAAAGUAUUUACAAGGAAUUUUAAAAGGAAAAUUUACAAGAGAUUUUAAAAGAUUUACAAGAGAUUUUUAAAAGGUUUAAAUGGAGUUUAAAGGAUGUACAAGGGUUUUUAAAAGAUUUUUGAAAAAUUUACAAGAACACUCUUUAAAAACUCUUGUAAAUCUUUUUAAAACCUUUUAAAAUCCCUUGUAAAUAUUUUAAAACCCUUUUAAAAUCCCUUGUAAAUAUUUUAAAACCCUUUUAAAAUCCCUUGUAAAUAUUUUAAAAUCCUUUAAAAAUCUCUUGUAAAUCUUUUAAAACCCUUUGAAAAUCCCUUGUAAAUCUAUUUCCGCCCAAAAAAAAUUUACAAGGAUUUUUAAAAGCCUUUUUUGGCUGAGAAAAAAUCUGUUACGAAAACAAAAUUGGCGGGAAAUUUUUUUUUGGCAGGAAUUUUUUUUUGGCGGAAAAAAAGUUUGGCAGAAUUUUGUUUUGGCGGAAAAAAUAAAUUUUGACGCCAGAAAUUUGGCGGGAAAAUUUCAGUUUCAAAUUACAUGUUCCAAUUAGAUGAGGGUACUUUGGUCAUUUUUGGCAAGGGAAGGGGUAUUUUUAAAAAUGGACAACAUAAAAAGGUAUUGUUGCAAAAGGGUAGUAAAAAAGGGUAGUUUUGCAAAUCUCCCAUGUUUUAAAUACAACGUUCUUAUUAUAUUUGAGAUGCUAUAUUUAUUAUAAAAUAUUUAUUGUA